UCUUGUUGCCGUGAACGAGAUAUUUUAGGAGGCUGGAGAGCAGAGAGCGGCUCACCCCAGGAGGAGCUCGGAGGGUUGUACGUGUCUGCGGGAACCGAGGAAAGCUCUGCCUUCUUCACCGAGCUGGAGCGUCGCUGAGUCGGGGAGAGGACGGUAGAUGUCGCGCCAAGGAGCGGAGGACAAGCACGGAGAAAAAAGAGGCUUUAACUGGGAUUUACUGACCCGCUGCUGCCGCUGGACAGAAUUAUUUAAAGGAGCCUGAGGGCGAUGUGGAGGCUCGUAUCAGCUCAGACACACUGAUUCAACCUUCAGUCAGAGAGCUGAGCGCCGACUGUGGACUGUCAGCAGCAGUAGCUCCUUCCUUGUGAGAGAGACCAAACCAUUCAACAACGUCGAAAGUUGCUUACUUCAAGAGGAAAUAUGCGGAGGAGGAGGAUUUACACGGAGGCCUACAUGGAUAUUUUCAAAAACACCUGAUACUGCAGGAAGACCGGGGCUGCAUCCUGAAGCUGUCCCUGGAGAAGCUGAGGUUCCUAGAGGACCCGGAGGCCUACCUGCGGCGCUCCGUCCUCAUCAACAACCUGCUGAGGAAGAUCCACCAUGAGGAGGAGGAGCUGGAGGCCGAAGAGGAGGAAGAAGAUGACGAAGAUGAUGACGUAGAAAUGGAAGACGAGGAAGAAGAAGAGGAGGAGGACAUUGUAGGGGAGAGGGGACAGAGACAAGUCUUGUACCCGGACAGGAAGAGGGUGAAGGUGCUAGUGAUGGACUGCUGCUCCCCGGCGUUUGGCCUGGAGGAGCUGCAGCAUUACCGGCUGGUGCCCUGUUACCCAUCGGCCGGAUGCCUGUACAGCCUGGGUACAUGCCCAGGUCUUGCCCCUAACCACCAAGUCCUUCUGUACAACCUGGACGACAAUGGGUGACUGUCCUGUCUUCACAAUCAUGCCUCAUUUUACAGUUGGGGAGUAAACGUCUGCGCAUUACAGGCAUGCAGACGUGGACAUUCUCCCCUGUUUUUUCUUGUGGGAUUUGUUCGGUUCCACCUGGCUAAGAGACAAAGAUGGAAUCAACAUACUUUAAAACCCUGAUUCUUCUUCUGCUUCAGGAUCAGCAGGGCCUCUAAUGUUGAUGUCAAAUGCAAACUGUUGUUGCAGCCACAGCAUCACUGCCGUAUAUUAAAAAUCUAGAGACCUGAAGAAGGCAGGGAAUUUUGCUGUUGAUGUUGUAUUAAUGAUUUUUAUUGUUUUUGUUGCUCAUUUAAAAUGUGAGCAUAUUCAGGGAUUUUCAGAUUGCGGGCUACUUUUUGAUGCACCUUGGCUUGUGUGGAGAAUUUUUUGCUGAUAAGCUUCUGUUAUCUUUUUAUGCUAUGGCGUGAUUUAUGAAAUAUUCUGUGUAAUGUUCCCUGGACCGUGUGAAUUGUCAAUCUAUCUCAAAAUCUUUCAUUCUCAAGGGUUAUUAACUGCCUGUUGGAAGACUGUUUCUCUCUCUGUAUUUGACGUCCUGUUCUCAUUUUAAAUGCCGUUUGUCAAUUUCAUGUUACAUCACUUUGCUGCCCUCUGCUGGUCAAAGAAUUCAUUUUGGAUUAUAGUCAUGCAAUGCAGGUGAAUGAAGAUUUUAUUUCACUCUGUAUAGCAUUUACAGGCUGUAUACAAAUAGUUAAGAGAUGGUUUAUCACACAAUUUAAAGCAAUUGUUGCAAGAUUUUCAAGUGUUUGUGACUGAAUUUGUUCAGAGCUAAGCCUCAUCCCGCAAAAAGAAAAACUGAGACUAGAGCAUAAUGUAUGGCAGUACAGAGAUAAAUAUAUAUAAAACAAGUUUUUAUUGGAGAAAGUGGGAUGAUUGACAAAAACUGUACAUUGAUACUCAUUCAAUAUGUCCUUAGAUUUUCAUACGUCUGAAUCACAUCAGAGGACCUUCAUAUGAAUUUGAUUUGACUCCAUGUUCCCAUGUCCCAAGUAAAUUUGGACUAUUUUCAAAGAUCUAAACUUAUUUAUUGUGGUAUUUUAUUGGAACAUCUGCAAUGUUGUCCAAAUAUAAUGAGAUAAAUGAGUCAAUAUUGCUUAAAAUAAGAAAAUAUACUCAUUAUCAUGGGAAAACAGAGUUUUAUUUAAUUCAAGGAUGCAUGUUUUCUUAAAGCUCUCAUAGUUAAGACUUUUUCAAUUAUAUUUAUUUGCUACUAUAAGGCCAAAUAGUGGUGAUUAAAAUAAAGUUUCACUGAAAAGGGUAAAAAUCUUUAUUUCUUGUGUUCCCUUUUUGGAUACUAAUGAAAGAAAUUAUGUUUUGCUUUUUUGUGUGGUUUACAAAAAGAAAAACUGUCAUUUUUCUCUGCUCUCACACGUUACUGAAAACUCUUUUCUGCAACCAAAUAAUUUGUUUGAGAAUAUUUUUAAGCCAUCUGUUGUUUUGAAGCUGAGUUUCAGCGCGCAGAUUGUUUCUGAACUGAUAAUUUAUUUCAUAUUUUGACCAGUCUCAUUUAUAACAGCAUUUGCUGUUUUGUCACAGGGACAAAUUAUUUCUUAUAAAGCUUUCUAACCUGCUUUAUGACAAGUUUAUUGAUGAGUCAUCCUUUCUCAGUGUCUCUUGAUGUGUUUUUCGUGUUGGUCUGUGUCCAGGAGUUUUAGCAGGUUUGAAUAUUUUUUGCAUCCUGAUAACAAUCACUACAAUGUUACAAACAAGCAACCAACAAAAACAAGAUACUACAGGCAACUAUUAAAGAGAAGCUUGAUAUUUUACACCAAGAAUUUAUAUUUUGAUGAAAAUGCAUAUUCCGUAUUUAAGAAAUACUAUUUUGAAAAAGGGCCAUCAAACUUUUCUCGGGUGAUUGAUUAUCAAUAAAGUAU